rnacentral:tRNA from 1 species
GUCGCGAUGGCCGAGGGGUUAAAGUGAUGGAAUAGAAACCAAUUGGAGAUUCCUUGCGCAGGUGUAAAUCCUGUUCGCGACG